UACGGAGGGUGCAAGCAUUAAUCGGAUUUAUUGGGCGUAAAGGGCGCGUAGGCGGAAAUAUAAGUCAGGUGUGAAAUCCCGGGGCUCAACCCCGGAACAGCAUUUGAAACUGUAUAUCUAGAGGGUAGGCGGAGAAAACGGAAUUCCACAAGUAGCGGUGAAAUGCGUAGAUAUGUGGAAGAACACCGGUGGCGAAGGCGGUUUUCUAGCUUAUACCUGACGCUAAUGCGCGAGAGCAAGGGGAUCAAACAGG
rnacentral:rRNA from 1 species